ensembl:lncRNA
CAAAAAAAUACAAAAAACAAAAACAAAAACAAAAACAAAAACCAAAAUGCUUCCCUCUGAGCCCAGAGCACAGUUUGAAGUUUGAGACAAAUGUUUGAAAGAGUUGGAAAAGUCAGCCACAACAUAGCCAAGCGGUUAGGCUAUAGCAAAAGUGGGCUGUCGGGACAAACCAAGAUUGAAAGAAAGCUCACAUUUAACAUGUGAGUCCUUAGAUUGUUCACUUUGGGUUUGUAAAGAGCAUUUGAAGUCAUAACUGAGCUACUCUACAGAGUGAGAAACCAAUCCACCCGAAGAAAAAAUCAAGACAUAGGACUGUGAGAAGGAUUUGCUGUGAUCAUGAAAAGCCCCAGUUCCUGUGUUUGCCUACAGCAAGACAAGAUGAAAUCAUUUGGUGAGCAGUAGAAGACACCAAUGUCAAAUUUGGAGCAGAGCUUUACCUCAUUUGUGAAUUUUUGUUUCUAUCAAUAAGGCGCUUUGCUGAGUCCUCCUGAAUUUUCAUCCACUUCUUCGGGCACCUAUGUUGUACCAGAGCUCCUUUGAGAAUCAGGGUCCAGUUAUGAGCAACUAAAGACCCCUUGAACUUUUUUUCCCAUAAGCAAGCAAUGUUUUGGAUAAGAGAGUGUAUACUCAGGUCCUACCACUGUGAUCAGCGUCCCCAUCUGCUGAGCUGCCUGCAGGGACUGCAGUGCUCUAGGCACUUUGAACUUAGUGCUGACCAAAGGUUAUAUUUUAUCCAAAGGUUCUUCAGAGAUGCUCUGUACUGGAGUAGGGUAAAGUCUUCAACAAAAGCCCUUUUCAUUCCAUUAAUUAAGCAUGUUUACAUAAACAAGGCAUCCUAAACUGUAAUUGGAGUUGUUUUAGCUUAAAAUCCUUUUUCAAACAGAGAAGAUGAGAUGUAUUUUAUAGGGAGUACUGAAUAAACAAUUAAAUGAAAAAUAAAUCCAUACUUCCACUUUGAAAUAAAAUUGGGAUUGUUCAACAUUUACAUUCCCCCAAAUUGAGACGAGAAGAUUCCUUCUCUCUUCGAGGGGAGAUGACAAAAAUAGAGAUGUGGAAGUGUGGCAACCACCUGCUUUGAUGUCUUAACCCAAGUAAAGCUUUAAGCACUUCCAAAUUGGAAGUUUUAUUUGAGUUUGCUGAUGAGGCCCCAGGCCAUUCAUGCAGAGUCACAUUACCACGAACUGUGCUUCUAGCAGGUGCUGUGGUCAGAUGCUUGCUGUCCCCACCUGGGUGUAACUCUGCCAAGGAGGCCCUGGGUGAUACCACAGCCAUGCAGCCCAUGGUGGCACUGGCAAGAGAGGCCUACCACUGCCAGCAGUAGUGCUGAGUGUUUGGUACAGGACCACAGUCUCACACCCAGCAGGCUGAGACUGACCCUCCCUGUGCCUUUGCACUGCAGCCGUGUCAGUGAGGAGCAUGUACUGGGGUGGAGAGGAAGCAGCCAAGCAGGACCCACACAAAUCCCUGCACUGUCCUGGAUCGUCCCUCCUCGCUAGCCCUGGCAGCAGGAUGCCAGCACCUUGCCCCCUCCCUUCAUGCUCUUUGCAGGGAGCUGCAGGCGGACACUGCCCUCUGCCAGGGCACUGCUUUAUGUUGCCUGGCUCAACACUAUCCACAGUACCCCUGUUGUGUAAUGCAACAUUAACAAGUGCUCGGAUUGUGAUACAGUGUGAAAAAUCACAUCUUCCUGUGCAAAUGUAAGGUGAGAUUGCGCAUGUACGCUGAAAUCAUAAAUGAG